UACGGAGGGUGCAAGCGUUGUCCGGAAUUACUGGGCGUAAAGGGCUCGUAGGUGGCCAACUAAGUCGGACGUGAAAUCCCUCGGCUUAACCGGGGAACUGCGUCCGAUACUGGAUGGCUUGAGUUUGGGAGAGGGAUGCGGAAUUCCAGGUGUAGCGGUGAAAUGCGUAGAUAUCUGGAGGAACACCGGUGGCGAAGGCGGCAUCCUGGACCAACACUGACACUGAGGAGCGAAAGCCAGGGGAGCAAACGGG
rnacentral:rRNA from 1 species